UUUAGGCUCUAGAAGUGCGUCCCCUCCUGUCCUCGCGCUUUCUCUUUCAGCAGUCAUCUGCUCGCGUUAUGGAAUAUGCAACUUUUUUGGUAGGAACAAAUACUCCAACAAAGGCUCAUGAAGCAUUAUUUAAAAAAAAUAUGGAGAAACACUGGAUGACCUCAAUUCAGCUAGAUCUUACAAUCAUUUCACGGAUGACCUGUCGACCUGUCCUCUUCAUAUCUAGUGGAAUGGGUUGAGCACGCAGGUUGAUCAGUUACACAAAGAUGGAGGUGGAGGCAGGCGUGACGGGGGGUAGCCUGCAGAAGGAGAGCACCAAACGCCGGCCGCAUGAAGCUGAUCCAACCUGAGGACAAGGAUGCCUGCAGGGGACUGGAGAGCCGAAGAGGAGAGAGGACAGGGAGAUGUUUAAAGAGAGUGGGAGUCACACGGAAGGUGGCGUGUGCAAAAAAAGACUGUGAGUCAUGUGACCGUAAUCAUCCCAGCAUGGCGUCCCUGAGACACAAGGACGUUUAACUUGAGGGGCACGAGGCUCACUGUGUUUUAUGUAAAGUCUUUAAAAUGUCUUGAACGCAAUGUUUUUUAUCAAACAUGCUUUGUGGCUGUAAAAAUCUAGAAACAAUCUGUGACUGCUGUGUUUCAAUCUGGGAAUAAAUAUAACGACUUCUACA
ensembl:lncRNA